rnacentral:rRNA from 1 species
UGCAGUCGAGCGGUAACAGCAUGCCAGCUUGCUGGAUGCUGACGAGCGGCGGACGGGUGAGUAAUGCAUAGGAAUCUGCCCGAUAGUGGGGGAUAACCUGGGGAAACCCAGGCUAAUACCGCAUACGUCCUACGGGAGAAAGGGGGCUUCGGCUCCCGCUAUCGGAUGAGCCUAUGUCGGAUUAGCUAGUUGGUGAGGUAACGGCUCACCAAGGCCACGAUCCGUAGCUGGUCUGAGAGGAUGAUCAGCCACAUCGGGACUGAGACACGGCCCGAACUCCUACGGGAGGCAGCAGUGGGGAAUAUUGGACAAUGGGGGCAACCCUGAUCCAGCCAUGCCGCGUGUGUGAAGAAGGCCCUCGGGUUGUAAAGCACUUUCAGCGAGGAAGAACGCCUAGCGGUUAAUACCCGCUAGGAAAGACAUCACUCGCAGAAGAAGCACCGGCUAACUCCGUGCCAGCAGCCGCGGUAAUACGGAGGGUGCAAGCGUUAAUCGGAAUUACUGGGCGUAAAGCGCGCGUAGGUGGCUUGAUAAGCCGGUUGUGAAAGCCCCGGGCUCAACCUGGGAACGGCAUCCGGAACUGUCAAGCUAGAGUGCAGGAGAGGAAGGUAGAAUUCCCGGUGUAGCGGUGAAAUGCGUAGAGAUCGGGAGGAAUACCAGUGGCGAAGGCGGCCUUCUGGACUGACACUGACACUGAGGUGCGAAAGCGUGGGUAGCAAACAGGAUUAGAUACCCUGGUAGUCCACGCCGUAAACGAUGUCGACCAGCCGUUGGGUGCCUAGCGCACUUUGUGGCGAAGUUAACGCGAUAAGUCGACCGCCUGGGGAGUACGGCCGCAAGGUUAAAACUCAAAUGAAUUGACGGGGGCCCGCACAAGCGGUGGAGCAUGUGGUUUAAUUCGAUGCAACGCGAAGAACCUUACCUACUCUUGACAUCCUGCGAAUUUGGUAGAGAUACCUUAGUGCCUUCGGGAACGCAGAGACAGGUGCUGCAUGGCUGUCGUCAGCUCGUGUUGUGAAAUGUUGGGUUAAGUCCCGUAACGAGCGCAAC